GCAGCCGUGGCCUACUGGUUAGGGCUUCGGGCUUGUAACCAAAGGGUUGCCGGUUCGAUCCCUGACCCAGACUGUG
rnacentral:tRNA from 1 species